AUGACGAUUCUAUGCUGGAAUUGUCGGGGACUUGGGCAACCUCUGCCAGUUCAAGGGCUAGUGAGGCUAGUGCACACCUGCAAGCCUAAGUUAGUCUUCCAAUCUGAAACCCGCCAAAGCAACGAGUACAUAACUACAAAAAAAUACACUUCCGUGAUGAUACAUGUUUGUCACAGUAGGUCACGUUUUCUGUCAUGCAUGUACAUCCAUGAUGAUUUUAUGACAAAAUCAAGAUAG
rnacentral:rRNA from 1 species